GAGUCUCUAUUAUCCCCUUUUGAUUUUUAACUUUUUCAGAGUUAUUACUCGUAUAAAGAAUUUAGCAUUUUCACCUCUAAUACUUGUAUUAUACACAUAAGUAAUUAUUUUUCAAUAAUACAUCAGUUUUCUGUACACAUCUUAAACACUCGGUAAAAUAAUAUAUAUUAAAAUAUUAUGUAGUAUGCGAAAUUUUCAGUUGUAAUUUGCCAAAAUUUUGAAG
rnacentral:lncRNA from 1 species